GAGUGUCAGAUGUGUGAGAGGGGAAGCAAACAUUUUCGGACAUUGGAGAUUCGCGCUCGUAAAUUGUCAAAUUGGCCAUAACUUUUAAUUUGUUGCUGCCAACUGGGGUGGCAGCAGGGGUGGCAAGGCUUUCUUUUAGGGUGGCAUUUGCCACCCUAUGCCACCCCGGUAGAUCUG